rnacentral:sRNA from 1 species
GGCCGAGGCGCCGGAGGAGGCCGAGGCGCCGGAGCAGGAGGAGGCCGGCCGGAGGCGGCAUGAGACGAGCGUGGCGGCCGCGGCUGCUCGGGGCCGCGCUGGUUGCCCAUUGACAGCGGCGUCUGCAGCUCGCUUCAAGAUGGCCGCUUGGCUCGCAUUCAUUUUCUGCUGAACGACUUUUAACUUUCAUUGUCUUUUCCGCCCGCUUCGAUCGCCUCGCGCCGGCUGCUCUUUCCGGGAUUUUUUAUCAAGCAGAAAUGCAUCGAACAACGAGAAUCAAGAUCACUGAGCUAAAUCCCCACCUGAUGUGUGUGCUUUGUGGAGGGUACUUCAUUGAUGCCACAACCAUAAUAGAAUGUCUACAUUCCUGUAAGUACCGAGCUUUAGCUCUCUUUUGUAUCAUGCGUAUUUCACAGUUCGACCUGGAAUUUGAAAACUAUUAAUGAUUCCUGCAAUCUGUGGAAAUGUUGGUACAAAGUGGUGAAGUCAUUUUCUUCUCUUGCAUCUAAUGACUUUUUGUUAAUAUGUAUUGAUUGUAUUACAAGCAUGCAAUAUAUGUGUUCUCAGGAUAUGAAUUAGCUUAUUUAGUUGGAAAUGCCUUUCACCAUCUUGUUUUCUACUAGUUCUGGGUUUCUAACACCAAUGCUUUAUCCACUCAUUUCUAAACAUAAAAAAAUUCACAUGUUCUACUUCUAGUCUGUAAAACGUGUAUUGUUCGUUACCUGGAGACCAGCAAGUAUUGUCCUA